AUUGAACGCUGGCGGCAGGCCUAACACAUGCAAGUCGAGCGGAUGAAGGGAGCUUGCUCCUGGAUUCAGCGGCGGACGGGUGAGUAAUGCCUAGGAAUCUGCCUGGUAGUGGGGGAUAACGUCCGGAAACGGGCGCUAAUACCGCAUACGUCCUGAGGGAGAAAGUGGGGGAUCUUCGGACCUCACGCUAUCAGAUGAGCCUAGGUCGGAUUAGCUAGUUGGUGGGGUAAAGGCCUACCAAGGCGACGAUCCGUGACUGGUCUGAGAGGAUGAUCAGUCACACUGGAACUGAGACACGGUCCAGACUCCUACGGGAGGCAGCAGUGGGGAAUAUUGGACAAAGGGCGAAAGCCUGAUCCAGCCAUGCCGCGUGUGUGAAGAAGGUCUUCGGAUUGUAAAGCACUUUAAGUUGGGAGGAAGGGCAGUAAGUUAAUACCUUGCUGUUUUGACGUUACCAACAGAAUAAGCACCGGCUAACUUCGUG
rnacentral:rRNA from 1 species